GGAUUGUAGCUCAGCGGUAGAGUACCCGCCUAGCAUGUGUGGGGCCCUGAGUUUGAUCCUCAGCACCA
rnacentral:tRNA from 1 species